AGCGAACGCUGGCGGUAGGCCUAACACAUGCAAGUCGAACGGCAGCACAGUAAGAGCUUGCUCUUACGGGUGUCGCGCGGCGGAAGGGUGCGGAAUACACCGGAAUCUACUUUUUCGUGGGGGCUAACGUAGGGAAACUUACGCUAAUACCGCAUACGACCCACGGGUGAAAGCAGGGGAUCUUCUGACCUUUCGCGAUUGAAUGAGCCGAUCUCGGAUUAGCUAGUUGGCGGGGUAAAGGCCCAACAAGGCGACGAUCCGUAGCUGGUAUGAGAGGAAGGACAGCCAGACUGGAAGAGAGACAGGGUACACACUCCUGGAGUGAGACACGGUCGAGAAUAUUAGGGGAUGGAGGAGAGGGUAAUACAGCCAUACCGCGUAAGUGAAGAAGGCGCUCGGGUUGGUAAGCGAUGUUGUUGUGAGGGAAGAAAAGCACGUUAAUACCGGGCGAUAAUGACGGUACCCGAAGAAUAAGCACCGGCUAACUUCGUG
rnacentral:rRNA from 1 species